UACAGAGGCCUCGAGCGUUAGGCGGAAUCACUGGGCUUAAAGCGUGUGUAGGCGGACUUCUAAGUACCUUGUGAAAUCCCACGGCUCAACCGUGGAACUGCUUGGUAUACUGGUUGUCUUGAGCCAUCUAGGGGCGAGCGGAACAAGUGGUGGAGCGGUGAAAUGCGUUGAUAUCGGAAGGAACGCCGGUGGCGAAAGCGGUCCGCUGGGUCCCUACUGACGCUGAGGCGCGAAAGCCAGGGGAGCAAACGGG
rnacentral:rRNA from 1 species